AGCCAGCAAAAGAGUCGAUUCUUUUUUACACUCCCUCCAAAAACAAACCCUAUAUGUUUUCAUUUCCCUCUCUCUUCUCUAACUCAUCCCGCCUAUGGAGUUUUUUUAUUCAAUAAGAGUCUUUAUCCUUUUUUGUUAUUCUUGCCUUAUCUGUGAUCUUUCAUUUAGCCGACAACCUCACUCUCAUCAUUCUAGUGAAAAACAAGAAUCCUCUUUCAAAGUUCCAUGAUUUUGAAUGGUGUUAGCUUUACUUCAGUCAAGGAAAUUGACGAGAUUAUGACAGCAAGAGCAUAAGAAAUAAAAAAUUCUGCUUCUGUAAGAAGUCAAUUUGUUGAUGCAGUAGCCUAAGCAGCUAAAUAUUUCAAAUAUACAGGUGACAAUCUUGACGACAUGGCUGUCAUUGACGAUGUAAUGAUUGAGGUGUAAGAUUUGAAACCUAAUUCAAACUCUUCCUCCUUCGAAUUGUAAGAACUUUUGAGUUCUCAAAUGAGUUGCCUACAACUCUCUUUUUGAGGGUUUCACUUGCAUAUCUGUAAUGUCUAUCUGAUAUAUGCAUCUUAAAAUAAAGUUGUAUUAUGUGAUAGCUAAUAGUAUUAAUGAGUGGUGAUGGCACAAAUGACACUAAUAGAGUCAUACUUAUAAUAAUCAGCUAAUUUGUUUUUGAAUUAGAAAGGGUGACAAACUAAAUAUUUUGAUUUUACAUUUGUAACUUCUACUUAAACUCCACUACAGUGGUCUAUGUUAAUGCACACUUAAGUUGUUACAUUGCUUGGCAGGAUUAGUUAUAAGUUAUAAGCUAUAUGUUACUCAUUUAAUAGCUAGUAGCAUGCUAUUUCAACGACGUGACAUGUUUGGCUCUACUCGAUUUAUAAUAAAUUUUGAUUCUACCUAUACAUUCUACUUCUAUUCUUAUUUUAGUGUUGGAAUUGUUAUGUUAGUGAAAGUGAUAAUCCUGUUACUGCUUCUUUUAUUUCCUUAAGGUCAAGCUCUAACAUUUGUUUUCUUGAACUGACUGGAUACUAAAUAGGAAUUAUGACAGAAUAGAUAUUUGGGACCUUGCAUCUUAUAUGUACUUUUUUGUCGAAUGGGGCUUUUGGAUAAAGAAUUAAUUUUGAUUUGAAACAUACAGAUGCUGAAUAGAGUCAACUAAUUCUCACGUAUUGUUAUGGAUUGUGAUUCCCUUUAAAAUUGAAGUUUGAAUCUAUAUUCUCUAAGUCAUAUUAUCUUAGUCCAUUUUCCUUCUCUAGACAGACACAUUGGCAUAUUCAACUAAAAAGUAUUUUAAUGAUCUUUUGCUUUUUCAGUUAUUGAUGACUUGGCCUUCUUCCAUAAUGUUUUGCGGAAGCAACUCUUUUAUAAUAGCAAAUGAGUGAAUAGAUUUAAAUUUGUAUUUAACUUCCACACUUAUUCAUUUUUGUCUCAACUAGCUCAAGAAUAAUAAGGGCAAUUUGGUGGCAAAGUGCAAAUCAUAAAUCUAUCAUACAGACUUUCAUUGUGGCAAUGUAAUAGCACAAAAUUUCCAGCUUGAUCACCGUAGAAGCAGCAUGCUACAUCAACUUAAUUGAUUUGAUAGCGUAUUUCCAUUUCUCUAAGUUGUAUGCAAGCACUCUGGUUAUUUUUUCUUCCUCAUUAUGCAAGUUUUCAAGUAUUGAGUCACACAAAAUCUGUAAGACUAUCUCCUUGCUUCUUAUCAUUAUAGAAAUAUUAUUUUUUGAUGUACUUUAUGCAUAUGAGGCAGUGAUUGUCUUUGUGUAUAACUUGUCUUGCUUAAUGUUAUUUGAGUUACUUAGAAAAGUUUUAUUUUUGUUAUGUGAGGAAAUACUUGUAACCCACAAGGUGCAUCCGUGCUUGCCUUCUUUUACAAAGAAGAAUUAAGUACAUCUGUUCCUUUAACAAUAAUCAAGGACGUUGCUUUCUUUGGCUGAUGACUAUUACUGAAGUGUUUUAGCUUCAAACAUGGUUGGUGUUGUGCGGAUAACCAGAGUUCUGUGGUGAAAUUGGUUGUGUUCAUUCUCUGAAGCUCUUUUCGAUAGCUUGAAGUAUAACUUUAUUUUGAUGAAUCGUCAAGCUUAAAUUUCAUGUGGAAAACUUUCAAUAUGAUCAAGAGCUGCAGAGAGAUAUUUGUUGGGCUUGAAAUGACAUUAGAUUCAAAUGAUCUAUUUGUUCUCCUAUGUUGUUGACAUGUUGAAACUAUGGAUUGGAAGUUAUUUUUUAUAUGGAUUUAAUGAAAUACAUUAUGAAUU